GAAGGUAUCGCUCAGUGGUAGCGUACCUGCUUAGCAUGCAGGAGGUCCUGGGUUCAAUCCCCAGUGCCUCCA
rnacentral:tRNA from 1 species